UAUGGAUGUCCCGGUUCGAGACUCGAGGGGCCAGAAGGCAGCCCUCCCUCCCGGAGCCCCGCAUGAUGGUACGGCCUGCUCCGCCACUGUCACGUGGGCGCCUCCUGUGUGACGUCGACGUCUUCGCUGUAGCAAAGCUCGGCCUCUGGAAUUCUGAGAACUAAUUUGCUAUUCGGUGACAUAAGAGGGGGAGUGCGCUUUGCUUUCCCGGGGUCUGGGGCUAAUUCUUCCUCUCUUACCCAUAUACUCAGCUCCUCGAGCUAAAUGCAUAAAAGGGAGCGAGAGAUUUGAACCACCGGAACGAGUAUGUUAUAUACAGUAGGUUUAGAGAGACGAGUAAGAGGAAAAAAACAAUAAACACCACAGCUCUCUCCAGCUAAAAUAUUAGGCACCACGGGAAAAAUAUUUGCCAAGCAGUGUUCGAGGAUAGGCUUGCUCCUCACAAGAGGUGCGUGUCACUCUGGCAACACAACUGAAAAUGGGUCUGUGUGGUUUGAUGGUCCUAUGUCAUUUUAGAAGAUCAGGUUGACCUGACAACCUGGGUUUGAAGGAACCUUUCAGCUGCCUGAAAUUCGAGUCAUUAAACUGUUCCCUUAGGUCAGACUAUAGAGGCUGGUGCAUGUUUCCAACAUGUCAGUGUCUAUGUGACUGCUCUGCCUGGAACUUUAUAUGGGACAUUUUGCAAAGCCACUGCGGAGGACUCAGUUUCCUCAGCCGUGUGAAGGAAUAACCCAGAUGAUUUGCGGGACCAAAGUCUGGGAUUAUGCUGAGUGAGUCCAAAAGCCAAAUGAAGAUUUUAAACGUUAAGAGUUGGAGGAGUGACAAAAACCAGGGCUGCUUAGAGAGAUGGCUGAGUCUGGGACUGGGACAAGAGGCCUACAAAAUGAGAAUGGAACAUCUUGUAGUACCAUGAAGUAAGGAGUUGCUGAAAGCAAAACGUUUAUAGGAGAUAUUUCAAGGACACACAGGAACUUGAAGAACUCCCAACAGCCAAAGCUGGAAUAAUUUGAGAAAAAAGAAGAAGAAGGAGUAAUAUGUGGGAUUAUAACCCAAAAUAGAAAAAAAAAAAAAA